rnacentral:rRNA from 1 species
AGAGUUUGAUCAUGGCUCAGAAUGAACGCUGGCGGCGUGCUUAACACAUGCAAGUCGAGCGAGGCCUGGGGGGCAACUCCCAGAGUCGAGCGGCGGACGGGUGAGUAACACGUGGGUAACCUGCCCGGAAGUGGGGAAUACCUCGGGGAAACUCGAGCUAAUACCGCAUGACAUCUUCGGGACGAAAGUCCUGACGAUCAAAGCGGGGUCGCAAGAUCUCGCGCUACCGGAUGGGCCCGCGCCCGAUUAGCUAGUUGGUGAGGUAACGGCUCACCAAGGCUUCGAUCGGUAACCGGCCUGAGAGGGCGAUCGGUCACACCGGAACUGAGACACGGUCCGGACUCCUACGGGAGGCAGCAGUGGGGAAUCUUGCGCAAUGGGCGAAAGCCUGACGCAGCAACGCCGCGUGGAGGAUGAAGGCCUUUGGGUUGUAAACUCCUGUCGGCUGGGAAGAAAUCAUACGGUGCUCAUACCACCGUGUGUUGACUGUACCAGCAAAGGAAGCCCCGGCUAACUCUGUGCCAGCAGCCGCGGUAAUACAGAGGGGGCUAGCGUUAUUCGGAAUUAUUGGGCGUAAAGGGCGCGUAGGCGGCCAUGCGUGUCUUCCGUGAAAUCCCUCGGCUUAACUGAGGACGUGCGGAAGAAACUGCGAGGCUUGAGUCCCGGAGAGGGGGGUGGAAUUCCCAGUGUAGCGGUGAAAUGCGUAGAUAUUGGGAGGAACACCGGUGGCGAAGCGGCCCCUGGACCGGUACUGACGCUGAGCGCGAAAGCGUGGUAGCAAACGGGAUUAGAUACCCGGUAGUCCACGCCGUAAACGAUGGGCACUGGUGUCGCGGGUAUCGACCCUGCGGUGCGAAGCUAACGCAUUAAGUGCCCCGCCUGGGGAGUACGUCGCAAGGCUGAAACU